GGCCAGACUCCUACGGGAGGCAGCAGUGGGGGAUAUUGGACAAUGGGGGGAACCCUGAUCCAGCGACGCCGCGUGAGUGAAGAAGUAUCUCGGUAUGUAAAGCUCUCUCAGCAGGGAAGAAAGAAAUGACGGUACCUGAGUAAGAAGCCCCGGCUAACUACGUGCCAGCAGCCGCGGUAAUACGUAGGGAGCGAGCGUUGUCCGGAUUUACUGGGUGUAAAGGGUGCGUAGGCGGGUAAGCAAGUCAGAAGUGAAAUCCAUGGGCUUAACCCAUGAACUGCUUUUGAAGCUGUUUAUCUUGAGUGAAGUAGAGGUAGGCGGAAUUCCCGGUGUAGCGGUGAAAUGCGUAGAGAUCGGGAGGAACACCAGUGGCGAAGGCGGCCUACUGGGCUUUAACUGACGCUGAAGCACGAAAGCGUGGGUAGCAAACAGGAUUAGAUACCCUAGUA
rnacentral:rRNA from 1 species